GGCUAGGUAGCUCAAUUGGUUAGAGCGACGGUCUCAUAAUCCGUAGGUUCCCGGUUCGAUUCCGGGCCUAGCCA
rnacentral:tRNA from 1 species